rnacentral:rRNA from 1 species
AGGGCACCACCAGGAGUGGAGCCUGCGGCUUAAUUUGACUCAGCACGGGGAAACUUACCCGGCCUGGACACUGGAAGGAUUGACAGAUUGAGAGCUCUUUCUUGAUUCAGUGGGUGGUGGUGCAUGGCCGUUCUUAGUUGGUGGAGCGAUUUGUCUGGUUAAUUCCGAUAACGAACGAGACUCUAGCCUAUUAAAUAGGCUCUCGGCUUUUAAACGCCGGGAGGACUUCUUAGAGGGACAGGUGGCGGUUCAGCCGCACGAAAGAGAGCAAUAACAGGUCUGUGAUGCCCUUUGUUGUCCGGGGCCGCACGCGCGCUACACUGAAGAGAUCAGCGUGCUUUACGUUCCUGCUCCGACCGGAGUGGGGAACCCAGUGAACCUUCUUCGUGAUUGGGAUAGAAGAUUGUAAUUAUUCUUCUUGAACGAGGAAUUCCCAGUAAAUGCGAGUCAUAAGCUCGCGUUGAUUACGUCCCUGCCCUUUGUACACACCGCCCGUCGCUACUACCGAUUGAACGAUUU